CAGGUCUCUCAGGGCCUCAUCCAUCCUGACCUUGAACACCUCCAGAGAUGGAGCAAUCACAACCUCUCUGGGCAAGCUGUUCCAGUGCCUCACUACCCUUACAGUGAAGAAUUUCCUCCUAAUACUGAUUCUAUAUCUCACCUCUCUUUU